UUUCCGCCAGUGUGUCUGUUUACGUAUAAAAUUACAGAUGGAGAACGUGUGCAGCCUCUGCCUGGACGUGUCCAGGGGGAACGGGAAAACGUCAGCCGCGUCCAGGAAUGAGAAGCCAAGCGUGGCUCAGGCAGAGCCUGACGGGGUCGGUUCUCCCACAAAGGCAGAAAGUCGGGGAAUUCCAGGCUCGGUGGAAAAGGUAACCUGAACUAUUCUGCAGCGUUCGUCCAAUUGCACGUCUCCCUCAAAACCUCACUGACCCUGGAAGCACUUGUUUUAAAGUCUUGGUUGAAACAAAACUGGGAUUUUUAAGAAAAAUAACAAAUUUCUGGUACUUUAAGAUGUGAACGGUUUUAAGCUUUUACUGGCUUCUGUCAAAAUCAAAUUGGAGCAACUUCAGUCUCAGCUGCACCCAAAGUGGACGAAAACCCGGUUCUAUCCCCAAGGAACCGACAGCCAGGACGCGGCUGCGAGAACUGUGAUCCAGCUGGCAUCGCUGUCGGUGGUGUUCUCCUGUCCGGACGCGGAGGUGGGGCUGGCCGCUCGCUGUGCCCGUCCAGUGGGUCACCUCCCUCCACUGCCUGCCUGUGUCACGUUGCGUUUCAUUGCGAACAAGAUGAAAACAAAGACUGAAAGCAUAAGCCCGAAUGGGACUAAAGCUGGAAAGCGGCAAUUACGUGGAGCUGAGAAGGGAGUUGCUGACGCUCAUCAGACGAAAGUGAAUGUCCUUUUCUGUGGAAACAUCUCAUUAAUGCACGUUUCUUGGGUUUGGCUUUUCAGGAUCACAAGCAGGAAGACAUUAUAGAUAAAGAAAACACACACGUGUAUCUAGGACAUUUGCUGUGUUACUUCAAAGGAGGCAAACUGGAACAGGGACGAAGUCGUCAUGACCCGACACGGCCUGGCCUCUGGUGGGCUCCGAACCUCCGGACUGUCCGACGGGCUGAGACGCGGGCUGGGAGAGGGGCUCAGAGCAGCCCCGGGGCAUAUGGGAUGCUGUGCAGCCCAAGGCUGGGGCCUGCAGACAGCCUGCUGGGGUCUGUGAGUCGGAAUUGACUCGAGGCCACUAACAACAAGGGUGUGCGCACCUUCGUCUUUGCGAGACAGUAUCAAGUCGGCCUCUGCGCUGGUCACACCAGUUCACACUCCCACCAGCAACAUCCGGAAGUCCCAGUUGGUCUACGUCCCCCCAGUGCAUCUCAGGGUUUCUUCCUCUCAGCACUCGUGACUUCUGAGCUGGACAGUUCCCUGCGGGGUCUGUCCUGUAGCUGUGGGACGUUGAGCCACAUCCCUGGCCUCUACCCAGUAAAUGCCAGUAGCACCCCUGGUUGUGACAAUCAAACAUGACUCCAGACGUUGCCAGAUGUCACCGGGGGACAAAGUCACCUCAGCAGAGAACCACUGGUGUGUCUCAAGUUUCGUCAACGUCGUGUCAACGACAUCACUGUUGUCUUGGUUGCGUCUCUAACGACGAGUACGACUGAGCCUCCUGUCAGGACUCGGGCUUCGUGUUUCCUCUGUGAGAGUUUCCUGUUCGUAACUUGUGCCCAUUUUUAUAUUGGGUUGUUUGGUUUGUUCUUACACAUUUAUACAUUCCUUCAGUAUUUCAGAUACUUAUCUUUUGUUAGUUAUUCCAGUGGUCUUUCUGCACCAAAACAAUGUUCAUAAAUUUAUGCUUAUAAAGAUGGGAAACAAGCAUAUUGAAUUAAUAAAGCUCCAUGCAUUUUUAAAUAGAUGAGCUUUAAGAAUCCUUGGACAAUUUGAUCUUUCACUUUCUUUUAACCUUAAGCAAGAAGAGACAAUUUUUUAAAAAUUUCUUUCUGCCUUCGCAUUUUUUAAAUUUUUUACUCAAGUGCUGAUAAUCAGGAGUUGUUGUCAAGACUUUGGUUGAAAUCAAUCACAAUUUUGAGAAAAAUUAUCUCAAAGAUUUUUUUAUCUGAAAACAUUAACUAAUGAAGUUAUUAAUUAACUCUAAAAUGUUAAAGAUUUUUCUCACUGUAAGGAUUAUGGUGAGGUUUAACAUAAAUUAUUUUCUUGCUUUCAAGGAAGAUUUGUGGAGGAUGAGGAUCUGCUCUAGGUAGGACACUGCAGAUGUCAUAGAGUUGAGCAGAACAGCCUCCACUUGAGCAGUUUAUGAUUAGUUGGAAAAAUUAGACACUGAUGAGAAUAAUAUAACAGCAGAAUUUAACAGUUCGUAAAAACAAAAAGUGCUCACCUGCAGCCACACGCCUUGAUUCUGCAAACCUUCCCUGUGCACGAAAUUCAGGUCAGAGUCUGCCCUGAGGGGCGUCCAGUCCAGUGGAGCAGUCGGAGCGUGUGCCCCAAGGAAGCCGAGGUGGUUUUUUCUGGUUGUGAAGCUUCGAAAAGGUUAAAGAAGCAGAGACCUUCCGAUCCAGGCCUUAAGGAACAAGGAGACCGUCUCGGGGAGAAGUCUGCGUUCUGGCCGGCACACGGCUUUGCACCUUUGCGUCGCAGAAACAAGUGCAGCCUUGAACUUGGCAAAGGCUUGUGGGCGGAGACCUGCACCCUGGGACCCACGACUGGGGGACUCCACUGGCCCCUCGAAGCCCCCUUUCCUCGUCCCCCAGGGCAUCAUCAUAUAAAAAUAGUCAUUGCCUAUAAAAAUGCCAAUUCUUGUGUAAUUUUUAAGAAAACUACAGAGAAAUGCAUUUAUCUUCAUCAUCCUCGAUUAAAAGUCCAGUGUGCAGAUUCGUUGUCUGGAGAUGGAAGAGCUGCACCCACUGGGGGCGGGUGGGGCUCCUUCAGAGGCAGGAGGACUGACCUAGGCUCCCUCCCUCCCGCCUCUGUCUUUCAUUCGUUCUCAGUGUCUAACUUAGAACCUGUGAACAAAAAAAAGAAAUGAGUGUCUGGCCAGCUAGUCCUUCAGCUCCUGGAUGCAGGCGUCACGGAGAGAGUGCUGCCCCGGCCUUGACGGGUGUGAGCCAUUAACCUUCAAGCUGAUUCUGGAGACACUGUCGUGACAGUGUAACUGAAAGUUCGGUCUCUGAACCCGACGCCAAUCCAAAUAACGAGAACAGAGUCUUGAGCGGAAGAGGAAAGGUUUUUACUAUGCCAGGCACAGGGAGCAAAGCAAGGGCUCGUACCUCGAAAAUUGCUAGCUCCCCAAUGAGGAAUGGGCGGGUUCGAGCGCCGGGAGUCGAGGACUUGAGGUCUGGGAAGCCUCCGCUCCUUGGUACUUUGAGACAGCGGCUUUCCUGGCAAACUCGAGGACACAUGAUCAGCUAAACUUUAGUGUGCCUCCAACUCCAGGCCACCUGGGCUUUUAACAAUUUGUAACUCCCAUUUAGUUGUAAAGCUCAAAGAGUCCAAGUUUAAAGAAACAGGAACAAGUACCAAGUGAGAUUUCCUUCGUGUAAAUUUUGGUGUGGUCUUCCCCGUGGAAAGGGUGCAGGCGUUUCUGGUGCUCGCCCAGCGAGGUCGCUCCUCUCUCUGCACCUCCUCCCCUUCUUCAGGCCACGCUGGCUGCCUGUUCCAGAGGCGACGGUGUGAGAUGCCGGCUUAGGGACAGAAAACCUGAGGCUGAAUCCCCAUCUUGCAACUUGCGAGGAUCCUAUGCGGUCUCCAGAAUCCUCCCAGAAGGCCUGCGCCACGCCGUGUGUCCAUCUGCUCUUGUCUCCAAGGAUCUUUGGUCAACCCUGCUGGGAGGGGCCGGGCUUUGUCCCGAGGACCCAGAGUCUCGCCGAGUCUUUGUCCAAGGACAGAGUGAUGGUGUGUCAACGUCGAGGAGCAUCUAUGGAGACGAGACGGAAAGGACUGUCGUUAGAGUCGGUAUCCAGGGACAGGCUGAGAACUACAGGCCAGCUCAAAUUCCCUAAGGAAUGAACUGUGGUCUCUGUGUGUCAGUGCCAAAUUCUGAGAAAGACGCUCUGAGCAUCCCCACCUGGACUGGUUGUCCAGCCUGCGUCCAUCAACUGCAGCCGGAAGACAAGCCUGUGUGGAACGAGCGGGAGCCUCGCUCAGCCCUGCAGCCACAGCCGGGCGCGAGCAGCUCUCGGAGGAGGCGCCGGCUGCACGGUGGCUGCAGUAGCCAGUCCUGGGUGAAUUCACGCCCUCCCUCCCGCCUGCCCACCCUCAUCCCCCAAACAAACAUGAAAGUUAAAUGCCACCAAGACCUGUGCCACCAGACAAUACGUGGACGUAGAGAGAUCAUGGUUAACCAUCGUGUUCUCAGUGUGGCUGUGCUUUUCAGGUUACGGAAUUUCUUUAAUUUGCACCUUUAAGUUUAAUAUUUAGGACUUAAUAAAUAAGUUAUCCAUACAGGGAAAAAAAUUUCCAGAAACACCAUGUGCUCCUGUGCGUUUCUGGACGUGACGUGAAACAUGCCCACCGGGCAUCUUGCCAGGUAAGAAAGAGUCGUGCAUGUCCCCCUGCAAGUCCCUGACAUUUCCAUCUUUAAGAAAACAACAGUCUAAGUCACCUGGAAAAUCUCCCCUUGGUCAUUAAAGAGGAUCAUUGUCCUAGCUUCUCUCUAAUGCAGCAUAUUCACUAAAGAGAAAAACUAAAUAUUGACAGAAAACGGGCUGGAGAUUGGCAACAAUCUGUUCCAUCAGAAGGUGAAAAGCCGCUUUCUGUCCGCUUCCCGCUGGUCGUUUCUCUCACGUCUCACCUGAGUGAAGUCCAAAGCAACAGAAGAUGCAGGAUCUUUCCUUACAACCACAGUGCUGACUGAGCUUUCCCAAGUCACUUCCAUCAGCGACGGGUGGUAGGCACUCGUCUCCCUCCGGCCCGUGGAGACCGACCCUUGCAUUUGUGAACAGCUGGUGGAAGCCCGUCCCCACAGAGUCGCAGGCACCGUGUUCUGAGCACUGCCUUUUGCAGGAGGGGCAUCAUCUCCUUCAAUCCUCGUGGAGACAGUGGCCGCCCCAGAUACCGCUGCAAUCGCUGGCCAGGUCAUCAGCCUCAUUUUUACACCAGAGGAAAUGCAGCUGAGCAGGACGAGUCUUGUUACCUCCUUCUCCCCAGCAGUUGGCACCUAUCUGUGGAUCAAUAAAUGUUGAAUUAAGAUGAAGACGAUUGAGCUCUCUCAACCAGAUAUUUCAGGAGUCCCAAGCAGAUCUAAGACCAGUAAAUAGGAGGAGGGAUAAACUCCCACUGAACUGACCUGAAGCGCCGAUUCAGCCAGGCGGGUCAGAACUGAGUUCAUCUUCUCUCAACUGUGGCUUUUUGUGUGGUGAGUAACUGUCUUAGGAAAGACCAAGGGACCCGAGAUUCAGCGAUGCCGUCAACCCCACAGGCGAGGGAGAGCAGGGAUUUCCAGUGACCAUCCUCACCUGCCGACAUCCUCACUGUCUGUCCCCCGGGAUGGCUUGAAUGCAGCCAUUGGACGGGUUAACACAAGCCCACGGCUCAGUCACAUCCUCUCCUCUGCUAAUAAUGUGCUCCCAGACGGCUGCUCCUUGGCAUCACGCAGCCGAGGAGCUCCACUGGCGGGUGGGUCCCCUCCACACCGCCUCCCACUCGUCGCGAAGGAUGCUCUCUUCAGAUUAACCCGUCUCCACGUCAGCCCUGGUGUCUGGCACGGAGCUGGGCUCAGGAAACGUGUCGGAUAAGUGAACGAAUGGAUUGAAUGGACAAAUGUUGACAGAACACUCCUUCGUACCUGCUGUUUAGUCCUACACGAAACACAGAAGGCAAAUAAAUCAUGGUCUUUCCACGAAGUACUUAGAAUUUGGAAGGGGACAAACACAGCCAGCCAUCAGCCUUGUUGACACCGUUACCACCACCAGUCUGACAGAUCUAACAUGACGCCACCUGUGUGGCCCUGCCCCUGUCUACACAGAUGCAAAGGGUUGUGGUGAAGCUGGAGUCAAGUGAAUCCCACGUGCAAAUGCUAACGCGCUCCGAGAACUGGGAGAUUAAACAUCUGUGGACACAGGACACCUCACCAGGCGGCGUUGGCUUAACGGAAAUGAGGGCAGCGUUCUUUUCUCAUUUCUGAAAGGUCUGGUCCCGAUUCUCAAAGUAAAUGGAUUUCGAACGGCCUGAGCCGUGGUGCCCCUUCCAUCCCUCAGGCGGUUGAACGGCCAUGUGCAGGUCCCCAGUGGAAACAGGCGCUCUCCACCACACUGGGACAGGGCAGCGGGGGGACUGGAGACAGUGAGCAACAAGGCACUGGAUCCUCACAGAGAAAUAGAGGAUCUGAACACAGGUUUUCA
rnacentral:lncRNA from 1 species